rnacentral:tRNA from 1 species
AGAAAUAUGUCUGACAAAAGAGUCACUUUGAUAGAGUGAAACAUAGAGGUGAAAGUCCUCUUAUUUCUA